AUUGAACGCUGGCGGCAUGCCUUACACAUGCAAGUCGAACGGCAGCGCGGGAGCAAUCCUGGCGGCGAGUGGCGAACGGGUGAGUAAUAUAUCGGAACGUGCCCAGUAGUGGGGGAUAGCCCGGCGAAAGCCGGAUUAAUACCGCAUACGACCUACGGGUGAAAGGGGGGGACCGCAAGACCUCUCGCUAUUGGAGCGGCCGAUAUCAGAUUAGGUAGUUGGUGGGGUAAAGGCCCACCAAGCCUGCGAUCUGUAGUUGGUCUGAGAGGACGACCAGCCACACUGGGACUGAGACACGGCCCAGACUCCUACGGGAGGCAGCAGUGGGGAAUUUUGGACAAUGGGGGCAACCCUGAUUCAGCAAUGCCGCGUGCAGGAAGAAGGCCUUCGGGUUGUAAACUGCUUUUGUCAGGGAAGAAAUCUUCUGGGUUAAUACCUCGGGAGGAUGACGGUACCUGAAGAAUAAGCACCGGCUAACUACGUGCCAGCAGCCGCCGUAA
rnacentral:rRNA from 1 species